ACGGACCUGAUAUUAGGCAAGAUUACCCGCUGAACUUAA
rnacentral:rRNA from 3 species